UACGAAGGGGGCUAGCGUUGCUCGGAAUGACUGGGCGUAAAGGGCGCGUAGGCGGCUCAUACUGUCAGGCGCGAAAUUCCUGGGCUCAACCUGGGGACUGCGCUUGAGACGUGUGGGCUUGAGUGGGGAAGAGGGUCGUGGAAUUCCCAGUGUAGAGGUGAAAUUCGUAGAUAUUGGGAAGAACACCGGUGGCGAAGGCGGCGACCUGGUCCUUGACUGACGCUGAGGCGCGAAAGCGUGGGGAGCAAACAGG
rnacentral:rRNA from 1 species